rnacentral:rRNA from 1 species
UACGGGGGGGGCAAGCGUUGUUCGGAAUUACUGGGCGUAAAGGGCUCGUAGGCGGCCAACUAAGUCAGACGUGAAAUCCACAGGCUCAACCUGGGAACUGCGUCUGAUACUGGAUGGCUUGAAUCCGGGAGAGGGAUGCAGAAUUCCAGGUGUAGCGGUGAAAUGCGUAGAUAUCUGGAGGAAUACCGGUGGCGAAGGCGGCAUCCUGGACCGGCAUUGACGCUGAGGAGCGAAAGCCAGGGGAGCAAACGGG